AUGUGCUUUUCGCGCCGUCUUACUUCACCGGGCGCGGCGCCCUCGCCGCCGCAGCUGAUCUCACGCCACAGUCGGAUUGGUGCUGGCCCGGCGCUGCUGUAGCGGCGGCGGCGGCCUGUGGUCGUGUGGUUUGUACACCGCAGUGUGGCGCCAACACCGACUCAGAGGAAGGCCUCGGCGCUUGUUGGUGACGUCACGUCAGCUAGGCACGGCGAACGCCAGGCGGCGUGGCGCCCCCUGCGGACUGCCUGCGGGGUUGUGUUGGGGUGUGUAUGACGUCACAUCCGCCGGCCCUUUCCGGCCGCACUUCCGGCUCGUCCGUUCCUGGAAGAGCGGCGGGCAGCCAGCAGCUAACUGGCUGGAUCCUCCAUCUCCAGCGUCUGCAGCCGGCGCGGCCCACUGACACACUAACCGGAAGCGGCGGCGGCGGCACAGGUCGACACAUGGAACAACAGCCGGGAAGAAAAAGCCGCUGGAGUCGAAUCAACGGGAACGUCUGGAGGUGCAGUCUUCGUAGCAGAAUGGCAGUGUGGGAUUCCCGCGAUGAAAGUCUCACAGUUGGCGAUUCUCAUCUCGUCACCUGCGGUCAUUUAAUGCGGGCUGCCAACUCCGUUGCAACGUCCAGCAAAAAGUUCUGUUUCAUUACAGCCAUGUAACACCACGAUAUUAACGCGCGUUAAACAGGCCCGUUCAGGUACAGUAAUCGCCAAAAGUGACCAGCUACAGGGCUGGGUGAUUAAUGUUGCUAGUUCAUGGGUGUGUUAAAAAACUGAACAGUACCGAACUGACCUGCACCCCCUGUAGAACCUCCAUGUGUCCCUCUCCCCUCACGACCCCCUAAAACCUUUCUCCAGUUUUUCUACACAGAUUUAGGAAAUUUUAUAAGUAUGUUCAAUAAAUAAAACAUCAACGAUCACACAUUUGGCGCUUACAGCAAACCUACCGCUACAGAUAACGUUAAAAAAGCCAACUCCUGCACCCGAAAUCACAAAUGCAUGCAUACUUCCAUUCAAUGAUCCACAGAUUAAUCGAUUUACCAGUAGAAGGACCAGAAAUGCAAAAAACUUGAAAUACUAUACUCCGUUAUAUAGCCCACAAAAAUGAUUUUGACCAACAUAUAAUAACAGAAGUAUAUAAAAUAUAUCCGCAACCCAAACACAACGCGGUACACAACGAAAUAUAUCUAACUAGAGAAAUCUCAAUUCAACAAAGAACAAUGUAUGUACUUAAAGUUUACCUAGGACAAAUACCGAACAAGAUAAUUCACUAUUCAAAACCACGCGCAUCCAUCUGGCCUUCUGUACUAAUAUCUCGUUACAGAACUGCAUUCAGGCAAAGGCAAAAUCUUAGAAUAUACAUAUCCUGGAAAAUACAAAAUAACUUGUGACAGUUGGAAUAGUUUCUAUAUCGGCCAAAGGGAACGCAAUUUCAGUAUCAGAUUCAAGGAACACACUAGAAACAGUGACAGUAAAAAAUCUUGUUUCUUUUUGCAUCUAAAACACCAACACCACACAGCCGAGAAAACUGAAAAAACAUUACAAAUACUACACAGAAUACCGAUAGGACCCACUAUGAACAUACUUGAAGAAUUAGUGAUAUCUAUACACACUAAAGACUAUCUGGACGAAAUACUAAAAGAAUACACAGACAACAAAACAUACUCAGACCAAAGAUACAAUUCACAGCAAAAACCAGUCACUGAAAUACAAUAUAAAAUGGCCGUACUCUUUGCUACGAAAAGCCAAUAAAAUUAAUUAAAAUUUAAAAUUAUCAUUGCUUGGUUAUCUACACUUUGUAAAUAUAUAGCAUCAGAGUGAACGAACUGUCAAAUAUGUGUCAGACCGUACUUUUUAGUAAACGAACUAUGAAAUAAGUGACAAAAGUUCUUGCAUACAUUUAUAAUUAUUACACGUUAAGUAAUCUCUACGAAUUAGAUAAUGACAGAUUUACUGUAGGUGCAAUAUAGACUUUAAAUCAAACUAGACGUAAAAACCAGUGUACUCUUACAAUGUAUAAUUACUCAUAUGGACAGCCACCAUAUGUGCAGAUAAUUUCACCAUCGUUCGAUUCGCAGUUUACUUGAGAGUGGCAAUAAAGCCGAAACAGCUGUCGUAAUAAAGAAUAUUAUACUUAUUUAUGCUAGUCUGGACCUUUACUUUUCAGAAUGUCAUAAUGUGCUCUGUGCUGAGGGCCUCAUAAAACGAAAAACAUUACCCAUUAUUAAAAAAUGUUACUUACGUGAACUACAUUAAUGAAAAUUAUUCAACAAAUGAUAUGUUCUAUUUUAGUAAUAGCAAAUCGCAUAAACUUUGUAAGUAAAUUGAAAGUAAAACGGAAUCCAUGUCAUCUUCUUUGCGUCAGCUACUGUAUAUCGAUUUUGGAAUUAUGUAUAAUAAAGAACAGAUUUUGUUCGCACCUCAUAAA